GACCUUGUGGUGUAAUGGUAAGGUUACGGGCUAUGAGCUCCGUCUUUUUUUUAAUAUAUUAAUUUAAUUUCACUUUAUUUUAGUAGAAACUUGACAGUGUCUUUUAAUUUUAUAUUUUUCAGAGGGAUGCACCUGUUUUUAUCUGUUAUCAGAAUAAAUGGCCGGAUGCCAAUCAGAAGCUCUGAGCUUUAUAGGUAAUUGGAUUUCUGCUUUGGUGAUGUGUUGAAUAGCUGAGGUAUGUUGUUAACCUCAUGGCUUCAUCCCUCAACAGCUCCAGGGUUUGGCUACGAUCCUUCAGCACCAGGCCGGGCACCAUGCUUGCGUCACUGAAGGAGUAUGUGUUGAGGAGGGACCGCAAGGCACGUCCUCCUCCACAGCCUUCAGGGUCCUUCCCCAGAUCUCCACCGGGCAAGCAGAGCAGAAUUUCAAAGUCCUGAGAGGAAAGGAGGCAAAAAGAAGGGGAAGAGAAGGGUUGUGUUCCCUUCCUCCUCUGACUCAGAGGGGCCUUCACACAGAAGAGAGAAGACUCCCAGUCCCACCAGCAGGCAGAGGCUGGGAUCGGUGGACCGCUCAGGCCUCGGCUGCAGAAGAGGAGGAGGACACAGUGUCUCUCUCUGACUGGUCUGGCAGCAGCAAUACACAAUGGGUAGGCUGCUGUCCUGUUCCCUGCUACUCAGUCACCUUUAACUCAUCAUACUUACAUUUAGGCCUGGGCCGAUAAUCAAUAAAUCAAUUAUUCGCACGAUAAAUUAAAUGAACUCAAUCAUUUUGCCGGCCUCGAUAUAUCGCCAUGCGCAUGCGUGUUUGUUUUCCUCGUCUGUUGCCUCCAAGCAGGCUGGAUGACAAGAGGGUUCACUCUGUGCUCGAUCUCAGCACCUGGGCGCUUUUGUUCCAUAGCAGAAUGAGCGGAGUGAACCCUCCUGUCAGUCAUCCAGUCUCUUUGUCUCUGUGGAGAAGGCUGGGCCGCUAGCAUUGGCUACACACAGA